GACUAAAAAUCUUAGGAAAGCACUGUGUAAGCCCAUGGCGCGCGCUCACUGCAGGCCAAGGGUGUAUGCCUGGACCCAAGCGUGCCUCACACCACAGAAACCCCCCAAAGCUCCUGCUGAUCUGGCGGGGGAGUUUUUUCCUGCCCCUGUUUGAUGGUCGCCAAAUGUUAUGUGAGGAGACUGCAACGCCAGAAGGCUGUGCAGAGAACCCCCGCGUUGCUGGACUCAUGUUCUAUGUCCUAGGGUCUGCUGACUCCGGAGGGGUCCCGAGGAGACGCAGUGUCACUUCCAUUCCCGCCUGAAUGCAAGCCCGGAGGGUGCUUCUGCUGUAGGAUAACAUAUGGGGACAGACAGGUUACGUGACAUGCUCUAAAUCACAUGAGCAGUCUGUGUCAGAGUGAGAAACUGCACCUGGAUCUCCCAAUGUGAGGCUGUUGCUCUUGGCACUGCAUCAUCCUGACUGCAAACAAAACAGAGAUCGACUUUGCCUGUGUCCUUUCUGUGCCUGCAAAUGGCCAGAGAGGAUUUACUUCUUCCCCUUACAGACAUGGAAAAACUGGGAUACCAGGAUGUCAGGUGACUCUCCUGAAACAAUGGAAUUAGCUAGAAAAUGUAAGUAUCUCCUGAACCCAAUCCUGAGCAGUAGUCAUCACCCCACAUCACAUCUCACUGGCAUCAUGACAGCGAAAUUCUGGACUGUGCAGUCUUUCGUGCACAAAUGAGUGGUAUGUAAUGAGAAGGAAGCCCAGUGCUGCAAACACCAAUGUAAAGACAUACAUACACUCUGUUCUAACCAGUAGCCAGGAUGCCUGGGAAAAUGUGCAGGUGGUUUCAGAAAUGCAUGAGUAGCUUAUUAUGACAGAGAAGGGGAAAAAACCUGGGGAGAUUUCCCCCAUGACCAUCUGUUAAUUUUCCCCUGAAGCUGUUAUUGAUUUUCACAGAUUCACAUACUAAUGCCCUGCAAACAGCGGUGCGAAUCAGAGCGCUGCACUGCAGUUGCUGAAACACGCAAGCGUCACAGACAGAGCUAAAUGUGGUGACAUGCUCUCUCAGUUUGUACCUUAGCACUUCAUGAGCCUGGCAGUUGUCAGCCUUGGGGAGAAAAAUCCUCCUGUUUUCCCAUAAACAUUGUGCUUUGCUGCACUUCAGCUUGUGACAGUGGUGAGUCCCUUUGGUUGACCCACCAGCCUUCUGUCGUGGAAUCGCUCUAGCCCUUCCUAGUCUAAUAAAGAGAGGCCUUGCUCACAGACUGAAGAGCCAUAUUGAAUAGGCUUAGAGAUAUUGAGGACAGUUAUGCUUCAGGUUUAGCCCAAGAUCCCUUUACAUAGGCUAUGCUAUUUUAGGGCCAGGUAUGAAGUCUGCCCAUCAUCUGCAGGCUCCUGUGCUCUCGUGAUUUGAUCAGUGCACAGGCACACAUGACACAAUAAAAAUAACUGUUACCUGCCCUGCAGUUUCCAUAGCCCUCUGGUGCCUAAUGGUGGUCUUGGGACUGGGCUCUGUAGCAACAUCGCUAUGUUUUAGCUUCUGCUUUGUGCUCAGCUGAGGGGACUAGAAUCUUUUGCAGCAGCAGCUGGCCAGGCCUGAGCUCGGUUGGUGGCUGCUCCUGCACCUGGCUGCCCAGGGUGGUGAACAUCUGGGGGCGGCUGGGGCCGUGGUGGGGAAGGCCUGGUGGAGCGCGUUUGGGCUGAAGUGCACAGUUCCGAAGCGUUUUCUCUUUCUUUUUUUGUUUUUCUGAGAUAUAUGAAGGAGAUACUGCUGCCAAAUCAUGGUGUGGGGGUAAGUUGAACAGCUUUGCUCUUUUUCUUGGUGUCUCAGAGGGAAAGAAGCCUCAGAGUGUUUUUUAAAAGUGACUUGGCCUGUGGCUCUCUCUUGAUGUUUUCUGUGUGUGUGCUAGGAUCGCUGAGCCCUUCCCAAAGGAGCUUUCUGAGCACUGCAGCAAGUGGAGAAAUGCACCUUGGAACAGUUGUUGCAGUAAAUGAAUCUUGUAAACAAUUUUUGCUUUGUAUUUGGGAGCAAAUUAUGGCAUUUUCCAAGUUUUUUUUGUGUAUUUUGUAUUUGUAUAUUUAGUCCAGGGAAGAAUUAUCAACUUCUACCAGAGCAAAUAAUUUGUGCAGCAAAAAUGGCAAACAACCAGACCAAAUUAUAAAUUUUCAUGAAUUUUGUCCAGAUGGGAGCUUGUCCAGUUGACCAUUUCCUCAGAGAAAUAUUAUAAUUUGUGCAUUUUUAUGGUAAAAUAGUUCUCUGCUUGUGAAAAAACAAUGUCUCUAAUCUCUACAAGCAGUGCAACAGAUACAGAAAGCAUUUUGCUAUUUCAUGAUUAUCUAAAUACAAUUAGUUACAAUUGUUUCCUUCUUUUAAUAUGACACAAAUAUAUUUCCCUCCUCCUCCACCCCAAAUUGUCCUGGAAGGGAAAAACGCGCCAUCACAUGUUGAGAGAGAGCCUGCAGGAAUUAGUGUGGUGCAGGGAUGGAGGACGACUUUACCUUUCUGUAGCAAUAUCAGCGAUACAGAUUUUCCAGUGGCUUUCUCCCUUAGCACCUGCUAAGUCAUGUAACUCCACACUGUGUUUGCCAGGACCUGGAUGCCCAGGCUGAACGAUGGGAUGUAGCCAUUUGCAGAUGCAAUUAUACAUUUUUGAAAUUUUACCCAAGAGGACUUUGUUAUUUAAGUAUUAAGCGCUGUGAUUCUUGAUUUCUAGUGUCCAGCUUCUGAGGUGGGAGCCAGUGCGCCCAAGGCAAGUCUAGUACCUCCACAUGAGGUCCAGAACAUUCAACAAGCUGAUCAGAAAGCACAACAGGGAAGUUUUUCAGUCUUAAAUGCUACUGCUGCAGUGAUGCAGCCCAGCAUCUCCUCAGAGGGUGAGUACAGCCAGCCUUUCUGUCACAGCGCUCAGCAAAGACAUUUCAUCUGAAACACUGAUUACCAGGAAGUGACAAACAGGUCACUCUUCUGCUCUGGGUGUUUGUACCCGUCUCCCAUGUCCAGCAGAACCGCCGAACCACAGGGCAGUGAGCCGGACACUCCCGGCCUGCUUUCUGCUGAGGAUCUGCUGCUCCUCAGCGAUGCACUGGUGAAUCACUGGGCCAGAAAGCAAGUGCACAUGGGAGAGCAUGACUGUUUUUCCUAAUGGUUAAAGCAUUCACAUGGGAGUUCUAGGCUCUGGACUCUGCUUCCAGGACUGUUUAUGCAUUUUGCAUGAAACAGUCACUAGGUAACAUAUAAUCCCUGAUCAAAACCCUCAGGGGAUUUAGGCAAAGCAACACCCAGUUUCUGGAUCUUGAUCAGACUUAGGUGUGAAAUGGGCCGAGCUGCUUGGCCCUGUCAAGCCUGGGGCAGUUCUGGGCAUGCACAAAGGUGGAACUCUAGAUAGCUAGGGAGCUUGCAAGUAUUAGAAAAGCUGGAGACUGAAGGGGCCAGAUAGUGGGAAGGACCUAGGAGCUAGAGUGGGAUGUGUGUGCAAGCAUUUCAAGCCAAACUGAAGAUUUAGGACAAAACAUCAGCUGCUCUAUUGACAAGGUCCUCUUACAGGGAAACAAUCAUGCUCACAGAUUCCUGAAAUGUAAACUUAUUUACACCGUCAUUGUAUGCUUUUUAAAUUUUUUUUUCCCCAUCCUAACCACUGCAUUGGCGUGUAUUUAUUUCCACUAGGCUGCCUGUGCUGAGCUGCACAAUGGCAGCUGCUGUAUGAAUAGCUUGUUAUUCUUACCAAGCGUGACAACUGCUGUAGCAAAAUCAAGAGCAACCUGCUCUAAUGUAAACUGAUUUCAGAUUGCCCCUGGCAGUCCCAGCUACCUCAUCUAACCUCUUUUUUUGCCAGUCUUUUAUUUUUUUUUUUUCCCCCACUGGAGACGCACCCUGUGCUUUCAUAUAAGGUGGUUUAUCAAGCUGGCUAUUGCACCAGUGUCCAUGACGUGCAAAGAAGCUUCUCCGCUAUUAGCCAUAGUGCAUUUUAAAGCCACUUGGAUUCUCCAGGAAAUGCAGAAGUCGGCUGUCAGUCUACUCCAGAGAUGGCUGAUGAUUAUUGGUACCCAAGAAUAUCUAGUUGCGAAGCACCCUGGAUGUGUGUGUCCAGCUCUUGAUGGGGCUGUUGCAUCUUGAUACUCCACCCGCACAUUUGGAGAAUGCUGUGGGACUGCAUAAAUGCAGACAAAGAGAAGUUCAUUCUCUAAGGACAGCACUGUCACUCCAGAUGCAUGCCAGAUACCAAGUGGGAAGCAUUUGCAUU